rnacentral:tRNA from 1 species
AGGGGCGUAGCUCAGUUGGUUAGAGCGUCGGUCUCCAAAACCGAAGGCCGCGGGUUCGAAUCCCUCCGCCCCUGCCA